GAUGAAGAACGUAGCGAAAUGCGAUAAGUAAUGUGAAUUGCAGAAUUCAGUGAAUCAUCGAAUCUUUGAACGCACAUUGCGCCCGCCAGUAUUCUGGCGGGCAUGCCUGUUCGAGCGUCAUUACAACCCUCAGGCCCCCGGGCCUGGCGUUGGGGAUCGGCGGAGCCCCCCGUGGGCACACGCCGUCCCCCAAAUGCAGUGGCGGUCCCGCCGCAGCUUCCAUCGCGUAGUAGCUAACACCUCGCGACUGGAGAGCGGCGCGGCCACGCCGUAAAACACCCAACUCUUCUGAAGUUGACCUCGAAUCAGGUAGGAAUACCCGCUGAACUUAAGCAUAUCAAUAAGCGAAGGA
rnacentral:misc_RNA from 1 species